rnacentral:rRNA from 1 species
UAGUUGGUAAGGUAACGGCUUACCAAGGCGACGAUCAGUAGCCGACCUGAGAGGGUGAUCGGCCACAUUGGAACUGAGACACGGUCCAAACUCCUACGGGAGGCAGCAGUGGGGAAUAUUGCACAAUGGGCGAAAGCCUGAUGCAGCAACGCCGCGUGAGUGAUGAAGGCCUUCGGGUCGUAAAACUCUGUCCUCAAGGAAGAUAAUGACGGUACGUGAGGAGGAAGCCCCGGCUAACUACGUGCCAGCAGCCGCGGUAAUACGUAGGGGGCUAGCGUUAUCCGGAUUUACUGGGCGUAAAGGGUGCGUAGGCGGUCUUUCAAGUCAGGAGUGAAAGGCUACGGCUCAACCGUAGUAAGCUCUUGAAACUGGGAGACUUGAGUGCAGGAGAGGAGAGUGGAAUUCCUAGUGUA